rnacentral:snoRNA from 15 species
AACAACCUUUUGCAGGAGAAUCAUUUCUAUAGUAUUCGUCUCUCGCUUUGGUUCCCAAAAGAGCCAUCGAAUCCACCCUGGUUGAUGAUUGUACAUCCUCGAUACCCAAGAGUGAAUACUUUUUUGGUCCUCUCGCUCUGUCCGCAAGGACGGCGGCGGUUGCUCUUUGUGGCUUCCGCUGUAUAGAGAGUUGUUUCUCUUGAUGAUCUCGACCCUGCCGGUUCUUUUGUCUUCGGGCAUGCUGGUAGGGUGGGUGUCGAUGGACGUCUGACAGGC